rnacentral:rRNA from 1 species
GACGAACGCUGGCGGCGUGCUUAACACAUGCAAGUCGAACGGAAAGGCCCUGCUUUUGUGGGGUGCUCGAGUGGCGAACGGGUGAGUAACACGUGAGUAACCUGCCCUUGACUUUGGGAUAACUUCAGGAAACUGGGGCUAAUACCGGAUAGGAGCUCCUGCUGCAUGGUGGGGUUGGAAAGUUUCGGCGGUUGGGGAUGGACUCGCGGCUUAUCAGCUUGUUGGUGGGGUAGUGGCUUACCAAGGCUUUGACGGGUAGCCGGCCUGAGAGGGUGACCGGCCACAUUGGGACUGAGAUACGGCCCAGACUCCUACGGGAGGCAGCAGUGGGGAAUAUUGCACAAUGGGCGGAAGCCUGAUGCAGCAACGCCGCGUGCGGGAUGACGGCCUUCGGGUUGUAAACCGCCUUCGCCUGUGACGAAGCGUGAGUGACGGUAAUGGGUAAAGAAGCACCGGCUAACUACGUG